GGGUUGUGAGGUUAAGCGACUAAGCGUACACGGUGGAUGCCCUGGCAGUCAGAGGCGAUGAAGGGCGUGCUAAUCUGCGAUAAGCGCCGGUAAGGUGAUAUGAACCGUUAUAACCGGCGAUACCCGAAUGGGGAAACCCAGUGUGACUCGUCACACUAUCAUUAACUGAAUCCAUAGGUUAAUGAGGCGAACCGGGGGAACUGAAACAUCUAAGUACCCCGAGGAAAAGAAAUCAACCGAGAUUCCCCCAGUAGCGGCGAGCGAACGGGGAGGAGCCCAGAGCCUGAAUCAGCAUGUGUGUUAGUGGAAGCGUCUGGAAAGGCGCGCGAUACAGGGUGACAGCCCCGUACACAAAAGCGCAUGUGCUGUGAGCUCGAUGAGUAGGGCGGGACACGUGGUAUCCUGUCUGAAUAUGGGGGGACCAUCCUCCAAGGCUAAAUACUCCUGACUGACCGAUAGUGAACCAGUACCGUGAGGGAAAGGCGAAAAGAACCCCGGCGAGGGGAGUGAAAAAGAACCUGAAACCGUGUACGUACAAGCAGUGGGAGCCCCACCACUAAGCCAGUGGUGAACUCCACAUACGCAUCCUU
rnacentral:rRNA from 1 species